rnacentral:lncRNA from 1 species
GAAAGAGCCGUUGGUCUUCAAUAACUCCAAGUGUGAAUGCAUCCAUGUAAGGUAAGUUGACAAAUAAGGGAUUCAUCUUGAUCAUGUGGCUGCUGGUGCAUGGUAGAAACUCUCCCACUGCUCUUAGAUGUAAUGAAUAAUCUCCUGGUUUCCACACGUGAGUUUGAGUUGCACACUCCUUAAGCAAAGAAUUACUUUCCUUAAUUAGAACCAAUUCGGAUGUAGUGUAGAUAGUCUGACUUGUAACUGGCAUAUCUCCUAAACCAUUACUCUUUUUGGUAUGAAAC